UUGACCUCGGAUCAGGUAGGACUACCCGCUGAACUUAAGCAUAUCAAUAAGCGGAGGAAAAGAAACCAACAGGGAUUGCCCCAGUAACGGCGAGUGAAGCGGCAACAGCUCAAAUUUGAAAUCUGGCCCCCCGGCCCGAGUUGUAAUUUGGAGAGGAUGCUUUUGGCGCGGCGCCGUCCGAGUUCCUUGGAACAGGACGCCACAGAGGGUGAGAGCCCCGUACGGACGGACGCCUAGCCUCUACAAAGCUCCUUCGACGAGUCGAGUAGUUUGGGAAUGCUGCUCAAAAUGGGAGGUAA
rnacentral:rRNA from 1 species